AUGGUGUCCUGGAGUGAUGAGUCCGAUAGCAGCGAGCACACCGUGGAGUACGUCAGCUCAGGUUCUGACGACGGCAGAAUGAAGAUCCCUGCUACCACUGAAGACUCCGAUUUCGAGGGACCUGAAACGGAGUUGCUUGUUCUCUGCAAUGAACAUCAGAAGGUCGCAGAAAGGCGUGUUGCUUUCGAAGGAAUCCACACUGGCAGGAGGUUUCUUUGCUGUGCUGAGAAGGAAGGUAGAAACUGUGGAUUAGUUGAAUGGAUUGAUCCAGCUUGGCCCAACACCCUUGAGAAUGCAUUAGCCAAGUUAUGGUUUAUGUAUGAACAAUGUAGGAGAGACAGGACUGAGGAAAAUCUUAUGCAUUCAUUUGUUGUUCAUGACCUGACACAAGAGAAGAAGAAGCUGCAGGAGAGCUAUGAGAAGUUGGUUGAAGAUGUGAAUGGACUUUUGGAUGCUCAGGAAAGGAGGGCAGAGGUAGAAAGGAAAGAUCUUGAAACCAACAAGCUUCAGGAGAAGUAUGACAUGGUUAAGAACCUAGCAGCUGCUCAAGCAGCUGUCAUUAGGAACAUGAAGCUAAAGCUAGCUGAAGAGAGGAAGAACUUGCAGAUCCACAUUGAUGAGCUG
rnacentral:rRNA from 1 species